rnacentral:rRNA from 1 species
CCUAGGGAGGCAGCAGUGAGGAAUAUUGGUCAAUGGGCUUACGCCUGAACCAGCCAAGUCGCGUGAGGGAAGACUGCCCUAUGGGUUGUAAACUUCUUUUGACAGGGAAGAGUAGAAGACGGUACCUGUCGAAUAAGCCACGGCUAACUACGUGCCAGCAGCCGCGGUAAUACGUAGGUGGCAAGCGUUGUCCGGAUUUACUGGGUGUAAAGGGCGUGUAGCCGGGUUGACAAGUCAGAUGUGAAAUCCUGCGGCUUAACCGCAGAACUGCAUUUGAAACUGUUGAUCUUGAGUACUGGAGAGGCAGACGGAAUUCCUAGUGUAGCGGUGAAAUGCGUAGAUAUUAGGAGGAACACCAGUGGCGAAGGCGGUCUGCUGGACAGCAACUGACGGUGAGGCGCGAAAGCGUGGGGAGCAAACAGGAUUAGAUACCCGUGUAGUC